rnacentral:rRNA from 1 species
GAAUUUUGGACAAUGGGCGAAAGCCUGCUCCAGCAAUUCUGCUUGCAGGAUGAAGGCCUUCGGGUUGUAAACUGCUUUUGUGCGGAACGAAAAGCUUUGGGUUAAUACCCUGGAGUCAUUACAGUACCGUAAGAAUUAACACCGGCUAACUCCGUGCAAGACGCCGCGGUAAUACGUAGGGUGCAAGCGUUAAUCGGAAUUACUGGGCGUAAAGCGUGCGCAGGCGGUUUUGUAAGACAGAGGUGAAAUCCCCGGGCUCAACCUGGGAACUGCCUUUGUGACUGCAAGGCUAGAGUACGGCAGAGGGGGGUGGAAUUCCGCGUGUAGCAGUGAAAUGCGUAGAUAUGCGGAGGAACACCGAUGGCGAAGGCAACCCCCUGGGCCUGUACUGACGCUCAUGCACGAAAGCGUGGGGAGCAAACA